CGGGUGAGUAAUGCAUAGGAAUCUACCUAGUAGUAUGGGAUAGCCACUAGAAAUGGUGGGUAAUACUGUAUAAUCCCUGCGGGGGAAAGAUUUAUCGCUAUUAGAUGAGCCUAUGUUAGAUUAGCUAGUUGGUAGGGUAAAGGCCUACCAAGGCGAUGAUCUAUAGCUGGUCUGAGAGGAUGAUCAGCCACACUGGAACUGAGAUACGGUCCAGACUCCUACGGGAGGCAGCAGUGGGGAAUAUUGGACAAUGGGCGCAAGCCUGAUCCAGCUAUGCCGCGUGAGUGAGGAAGGCCUUAGGGUUGUAAAACUCUUUCAGUAGGGAAGAUAAUGACGGUACCUACAGAAGAAGUCCCGGCAAACUCCGUGCCAGCAGCCGCGGUAAUACGGAGGGGGCAAGCGUUGUUCGGAAUUAUUGGGCGUAAAGGGCAUGUAGGCGGUUCGG
rnacentral:rRNA from 1 species